rnacentral:lncRNA from 1 species
UGUAUUUUCUUUGUCUCGUGGCUUAGUCAUUUUAUGGCUCGCGUCAUGGAAUUCGUGAGAAAGAACCCAUGCACGAAAUGUACUUUCAUGUCAUUGAAUUCAAAUAUAAGGAACCCAUGCGUAGAGCAUUUUAUGAUUUUUUUCACACAUGGCAUGCCCACGUGAAGAAAAACCACGUCCUUGAUACAAACUACAAGGCCGAACCUAAGGGCAUGAUUUGAUGAGUUAUAUGUUCCUCGAUCCAAACCAAAAGGCCGAAUCUAAGGACAUGAUUUGGUGAAUUUUAUGUUCCUUGAUCCGAACCAAACGACCGAACCUAAGGACAUGAUUUGGUGAAUUCUAUGUUCCUUGAUCCGAACCAAACGGCCGAACCUAAGGACAUGAUUUGGUGAAUUUUCUGUUCCUUGAUCGGAACCAAAGACCGAACCUAAGGACAUGAAUUGGUAGAUUUUAUGUUCCUUGAUCCGAACCAGACGGCCGAACCUGAGAACGUGAUUUGGUGGAUAUUAUGUUCCUUGAUCCGAACCAAAUGGCCGAACCUAGGGACAUAAUUUGGUGAAUUUUAUGUUCCUUGAUGCGAACCAAACGGCCGAACCUAAGGACAUGAUUUGGUGUAUUUUAUGUUCCUUGAUCCGAACCAAACGGCCAAACCUAAGGACAUGAUUUGGUUAAUUUUAUGUUCCUUGAUCGGAACCAAAAGACCGAACCUAAGGACAUGAUUUGGAGAAUUUUAUGUUCCUUGAUCCAAACCAAAUGGCUGAACCUAAGGAUAUGCUUUGAUCUAUGAGAAGAGAUGACUCCUUGAUCCGUACCAAACGGCCGAAACUAAGGGCAAAACUUCAUGAGAUGAGAAAGAGAGAAAAAUCCUUGAUCCGAACCAAACGGACGAAACUAAGGACAAGAUUUCAUGUGAGAAGCGAGAGCUCCUUGAUCCGAACCAAGCGGCCGAAACUAAGGGUAUGAGAACAUCAUCAUAUCUCACCUUCUCACCUCCUUGGAACAGGCCAAGGUUCUCCUUCUUGCUUGUCCCUUUCUCACAACGUUUCUCUUUUGUGUAGUAUAUUGCUACUAGAGAGAGGGGAAGGAGACCAGGGAACCAAGGAGCAAAAAAGCAGUGGUGGAGGAGCAACAGCCAGCGCUGGAAUGAAUGUCGCCGCCC